rnacentral:rRNA from 1 species
AGUCGUAACAAGGUCUCCGUAGGUGAACCUGCGGAGGGAUCAUUACACAAAUAUGAAGGCGGGCUGGAACCUCUCGGGGUUACAGCCUUGCUGAAUUAUUCACCCUUGUCUUUUGCGUACUUCUUGUUUCCUUGGUGGGUUCGCCCACCACUAGGACAAACAUAAACCUUUUGUAAUUGCAAUCAGCGUCAGUAACAAAUUAAUAAUUACAACUUUCAACAACGGAUCUCUUGGUUCUGGCAUCGAUGAAGAACGCAGCGAAAUGCGAUAAGUAGUGUGAAUUGCAGAAUUCAGUGAAUCAUCGAAUCUUUGAACGCACAUUGCGCCCUUUGGUAUUCCAAAGGGCAUGCCUGUUCGAGCGUCAUUUGUACCCUCAAGCUUUGCUUGGUGUUGGGCGUCUUGUCUCUAGCUUUGCUGGAGACUCGCCUUAAAGUAAUUGGCAGCCGGCCUACUGGUUUCGGAGCGCAGCACAAGUCGCACUCUCUAUCAGCAAAGGUCUAGCAUCCAUUAAGCCUUUUUUUCAACUUUUGACCUCGGAUCAGGUAGAGAUACCCGCUGAACUUA